rnacentral:tRNA from 1 species
UGCCCGGUGGUGUAAUUGGUAACACACGGGAUUUUGGUUCCCGUAUUCCUGGUUCGAAUCCAGGCCGGGUAG